rnacentral:rRNA from 1 species
GUGCCAGCAGCCGCGGUAAUACGGAGGAGGCAAGCGUUAUCCGGAAUUAUUGGGCGUAAAGCGUCCGUAGGUGGUUGUUCAAGUCUUCUGUCAAAGCGCGGAGCUUAACUCCGUAAAGGCAGAGGAAACUGAGCGGCUAGAGUGCGAUAGGGGCAGAGGGAAUUCCCAGUGUAGCGGUGAAAUGCGUAGAUAUUGGGAAGAACACCGGUGGCGAAAGCGCUCUGCUGGGUCUGCACUGACACUGAGGGACGAAAGCUAGGGGAGCGAAAGGGAUUAGAUACCCUUGUAGUCC